GGAGAGGGGUUUCACUAUCCUGGAUAGUCUUGUGGACAGCUGGCCUGGAUUCCUGAGCAGGGAUGGUGUCCACCCCAGCCGGCUUGGCAACAAGGUGCUGGCAGACUUCUUGCACCGUGAGGCCUGUGCCUUGUCCACCCAUCUAGAGAGGAGACACAUCCAACAGUCCUACAAGGAGUCCAAGGCAUCUGCAUGGAGUGGGUGGGCUCGGCAGGAGCACUUUUCCAUCAACUUGGAAGUCGAUUUUCCAGCACUUGGUCCAGUACAUUGUGGACUCACCCUGUUGUCAAGUCGUCAGGAAGUUGGAUGAUGCUGUCUUCUUCCAGCUAAAUUUUGCAACUACUAAGAAGGGGAUCAAAAUUCUAUUUUGUAGCAGUUAUUUUACAAAUAAAUGUUAGUUAAAUUUUU